rnacentral:rRNA from 1 species
AGAGUUUGAUACUGGCUCAGGACGAACGCUGGCGGCGUGCCUAAUACAUGCAAGUAGAACGCUGAAGAGAGGAGCUUGCUCUUCUUGGAUGAGUUGCGAACGGGUGAGUAACGCGUAGGUAACCUGCCUUGUAGCGGGGGAUAACUAUUGGAAACGAUAGCUAAUACCGCAUAACAAUGGAUGACACAUGUCAUUUAUUUGAAAGGGGCAAUUGCUCCACUACAAGAUGGACCUGCGUUGUAUUAGCUAGUAGGUGAGGUAACGGCUCACCUAGGCGACGAUACAUAGCCGACCUGAGAGGGUGAUCGGCCACACUGGGACUGAGACACGGCCCAGACUCCUACGGGAGGCAGCAGUAGGGAAUCUUCGGCAAUGGGGGCAACCCUGACCGAGCAACGCCGCGUGAGUGAAGAAGGUUUUCGGAUCGUAAAGCUCUGUUGUAAGUCAAGAACGAGUGUGAGAGUGGAAAGUUCACACUGUGACGGUAGCUUACCAGAAAGGGACGGCUAACUACGUGCCAGCAGCCGCGGUAAUACGUAGGUCCCGAGCGUUGUCCGGAUUUAUUGGGCGUAAAGCGAGCGCAGGCGGUUUGAUAAGUCUGAAGUUAAAGGCUGUGGCUCAACCAUAGUUCGCUUUGGAAACUGUCAAACUUGAGUGCAGAAGGGGAGAGUGGAAUUCCAUGUGUAGCGGUGAAAUGCGUAGAUAUAUGGAGGAACACCGGUGGCGAAAGCGGCUCUCUGGUCUGUAACUGACGCUGAGGCUCGAAAGCGUGGGGAGCGAACAGGAUUAGAUACCCUGGUAGUCCACGCCGUAAACGAUGAGUGCUAGGUGUUGGAUCCUUUCCGGGAUUCAGUGCCGCAGCUAAUGCAUUAAGCACUCCGCCUGGGGAGUACGACCGCAAGGUUGAAACUCAAAGGAAUUGACGGGGGCCCGCACAAGCGGUGGAGCAUGUGGUUUAAUUCGAAGCAACGCGAAGAACCUUACCAGGUCUUGACAUCCCGAUGCUAUUUCUAGAGAUAGAAAGUUACUUCGGUACAUCGGUGACAGGUGGUGCAUGGUUGUCGUCAGCUCGUGUCGUGAGAUGUUGGGUUAAGUCCCGCAACGAGCGCAACCCCUAUUGUUAGUUGCCAUCAUUCAGUUGGGCACUCUAGCGAGACUGCCGGUAAUAAACCGGAGGAAGGUGGGGAUGACGUCAAAUCAUCAUGCCCCUUAUGACCUGGGCUACACACGUGCUACAAUGGUUGGUACAACGAGUUGCGAGUCGGUGACGGCAAGCUAAUCUCUUAAAGCCAAUCUCAGUUCGGAUUGUAGGCUGCAACUCGCCUACAUGAAGUCGGAAUCGCUAGUAAUCGCGGAUCAGCACGCCGCGGUGAAUACGUUCCCGGGCCUUGUACACACCGCCCGUCACACCACGAGAGUUUGUAACACCCGAAGUCGGUGAGGUAACCUUUUGGAGCCAGCCGCCUAAGGUGGGAUAGAUGAUUGGGGUGAAGUCGUAACAAGGUA